rnacentral:rRNA from 1 species
ACCCGGGAAACUGGGGCUAAUACCAGAUAGGCGAGGACGCCUGGAAUGGUUCUUCACCCAAAGGACUUUGGAAGCAUGCUUUCAAAGUCGCCUGGGGAUGGGGCCGCGUCCGAUCAGGUUGUUGGUGAGGUAACGGCUCACCAAGCCUAUAACCGGUACGGGCCGUGAGAGCGGUAGCCUGGAGAUGGGCACUGAGACAAGGGCCCAGGCCCUACGGGGCGCAGCAGUCGCUAAAACUCCGCAAUG